rnacentral:rRNA from 1 species
UACGUAGGGGGCAAGCGUUGUCCGGAUUUAUUGGGCGUAAAGCGCUCGCAGGCGGUCCGAUGCGUCGUGCGUGAAAGACCCCGGCUCAACUGGGGAGGGUCGUGCGAUACGGUCGGACUCGAGGCCAGUAGGGGGACGCGGAAUUCCGGGUGUAGUGGUGGAAUGCGUAGAGAUCCGGAGGAACACCAGCGGCGAAGGCGGCGUCCUGGACUGGUACUGACGCUGAGGUGCGAAAGCGUGGGGAGCAAACAGG